UAGGGCCACAGUAUAUGGAGGCUCCCAGUAGCCUGGAUCAAAUCAGAGCUGCAGCUGCCCAUCUACAGCAUAGCCAUAGCCAUGCGGGAUCUGAGCAGUGUCUGUGACCUACACCACAGCUCACAGCAACGGUGGUUCCUUAACCAACCAAGCAAGGCCAGGGAUCAAACCCGCAACCUCAUGGUUCCUCGUCGGAUUCAUUUCCACUGCACCAAGAGAGGAACUCCAUACUUCGUAUUUAAUAAUGUGUUGGAACCAUGAAUGAGAAUAACACUUAUACAGCACCUGCCUACCUCAUACAGUCAGAUGAGCGGAGCUGCAAGCAUGCAAGUUAAAGGCGAAACAAGUGUGAUACCCGUUCCUCACUUUCCGGUUGAGGAAUCCUUGGAACCAUUACUUAACCACUGUGAGCUUGUUACUUUGCAUGAACAUUGGAGAUAUUGCCUAUUUAAAGCUGUCCGGGAAAAUUAAAGGAUGAAUGUAAGUCUUUGCUUCAUAGUAGCUGAUGAAGAGUAUUUUCGUCUUCUUUCCUCUCUUUAAGACUACAUAGUUUCCCAGUCUUUAAAAUUCUAUCAAAACAGGAAGAAUAUCUCUCAACGUAACUUACUCUUUGACAAAAUGAAUUUAUACUAUUUUCCAAAAAUCUAAAUUGUUUUGUUUAAAGUAAAACACUGUAUUUAACACUAUAAAAGAAAUAUUGGCUGCAACAUUUAUGUAAACUCCUUCUUUGUGUCUAUAUAUCCUACUGAAAAAUAAUCAUUUAUUUAUAUCCUAAAAUUUGACACAUUAGCUUUGGUACCAGUUUUUGACAAUCCCAAGGGAAAGUAUGAUAGAAAGAGGACUAGAUUAGGAGUCAGGAAAUCUUGCCUCUAACUCUGACUCUGCCAUUAUUUAAUCAUAUCCUUUAGGGUGAAUCACUUAAUCUCCCUGACUCUCCUCCUCAUCUGCAAACUCAAGGGGGAGAGCCAGGUGAUUUCUGAGUUUCUUCACCCCAGAAAUGUCUCUGAUUCUCAAUGCUUUUACAGAUGCUCAGUCUUCCUGAGAACUGCUCUUCCCUCAAAACUUGUAACUUAGACUACCAAGGCCUUUACCAUUUCUCAGAGAUUUGCUCUUGGAAAAUGGAGAUAUAACCUAAAAUUAAUAAUAAGGGAGUAUGACCAUAUUUCCAUACGCCCUUAUCAUGGUUUAUGGUUAUACAAAUGCUCAGAUAUAUGUGGGAUAUUAGUCCCUUAUCUCACCUGAAUUGUUGGAAUAUCAUAGCAGUUUCCCUCAAAGUAUGUGUUAGAAGUAAAAAGGAUUUCAAGAGUAGGAGCACUACUUUUUGUAUUUAGUGAAUAGAAAAGGCUGAGCCAAUCAUUAAAGUUAAGAGCAGACAUAAUUACAGCACUACAUCUCCAACUUUCUCAACUUGAAUGUUGUAAAUGAUAAGAUACUUGAGGUAUCCCAAGUUAUUUUUUAAUUCCCUAGGCACGGUUUUCUCUGAAGCCACAAUUACCUGCUGCUAACCUAACCAGUUAUAUGAAGAGAACACUUUCCAAUCAUUUCAUUCAUUUACAUACUGCGUCAUCUAUUCAAAAGCAUUUUUUAAAAAUUGAAUCCUUCCACUUAUUCACUUGAUUUCAACCUUUUACCUACUCAAGGAAAUUGCCUCAGCAAUUUCCCCCAACCCACAUAAAUUUGUCAUCUUUACUGAAUAUUUCCUGUCUGUAUAAAAAAUGCUAUACUUUCUCCCAUGAAAAUAUAAACCCUUUUGACCUCAUAACCCUUCUAGAUUUUCUUCUCCUUAUAGGGAAAUUCCCCCAAAGAAUUGCCUACAUUUCUUAUUGCCAAUUAUUCUCCUUAUAGAAAAAUUUCCCAAAAUAAUUGCCUAUAUUUCUUAUCUCCAAUUAUUCCCCUUCAUUUUCUCUUGACUCCCAACAAAAAAAAGGCUUUUGCCACCAUUGCUGUACCUGAAUAACUCUUGCCAAGGUCAACAAUUACCUUCACGCUGCUAAAUCCAGAGGCAGAGUUUCAGUUCUCAUUUUCGUUGACAUAUCAGCAGCACAUGACAUGGAUGAUCACCUUCUUUUCCUGGAAACAGUCUCUUCAUUUAGCUUCCAGAAUAACUGUUAUAAAAACGAUAAUAAUGACUCACCUAAGCUUGCUCUCUUGCAUUCUGUCAUUCACCUGCAUUGAUCCAUCUGGUUUUCCAUAAAAGCUAUACAGAUGAAUUCAACUUUGACACGAUGAAAACUGCUACCCCUCCAUCUUCCUAGUCUUUUGUAGGAUUCCUAUAAGUCCUCCUGGGAUGGAGCAUUGUGGUCCUACUAUGAUUUACUACCUUAACCAGAGCAUAAGGUGGGAAUUGGGAGGUGGAGGGCAAUUUCAGAGGUUUCAUCUUGGCUUUUUAACAGGCUGGCUCUUCCUCCACAGGUGAGGAAACCAAAGUGAUGAUUCUACCAGCUGCUGAGUAUGUAGCUUCCAUGCUUACUCACUCAGGAACUGAAGAAAUCACCACAAGUUGGUUGUGGAUUGGUCCUCCUGUGAGUUGAAUGGGCCAGGACUCCGUUUGUGUCUUGGCUCUUAUGUUGGGCGGCUCUAACAAGGAUGCUGUGACAGAAGUUUGAGGCCUCUGGUAUUAGUAUUGGCUCAGCCCCUUUUCCCAGUAAUCCUUACAAAGUCUGAGUGUUUCCCCAACCCCAGCGUUCAGUGCACUGAUAAAUGGCUAUAGAGCCCUUUGAUAAUAAAUUGGUAAACAACUUCUGGAAAUACA
ensembl:lncRNA